UUAAGUAAGGAAGGGCGUACGGCGAAUGCCUGGCCACUCGAAACUGAAGAAGGACGCGCCAAACUGCGAAAAGCUCCGUGAAGCUGUAAGGAAGCGAAGAAGCGGAGGUGUCCGAAUGGGGGAACCCGGCAGCAGACAUGAGCUGUCAUCUGCAGGUGAAUACAUGGCCUGCAAGAGAGGUACCCGGCGAACUGAAACAUCUAAGUAGCCGGAGGAAAAGAAAACAACAGUGAUUCCCUGAGUAGCGGCGAGCGAAAGGGGAGAAGCCCAAACCGGUCCAAGGACCGGGGUUGAAGGACCAUGAUAUGGCAAGAGAGAGGAUAGAAGAACGGGAUCGAAAGCCCGGCCGAAGAAGGUGCAAGCCCUGUAUUUGAAAUCUGAUUGAAGCCUAAUGGGAUCCUGAGUACGGCGAGACACGAGGAAUCUUGUCGGAAGCAGGCGGGACCAUCCGCCAAGGCUAAAUAUAAACGAGUGAGCGAUAGUGAACCAGUACCGUGAGGGAAAGGUGAAAAGAACCGCGGGAGCGGAGUGAAAGAGAACCUGAAACCGUAUGCCUACAAGAAGUCAGAGCCCGUUAAGGGGUGAUGGCGUGCCUUUUGUAGAAUGAACCGGCGAGUUGCGACAGACUGCGAGGUUAAGGAGGAAAGACCGGAGCCGAAGCGAAAGCGAGUCUUAACAGGGCGAAAGUAGGAUGUUGCAGACCCGAAACCGGGUGAUCUAGCCAUGAGCAGGUUGAAGUUGAGGUGAAACUCAAUGGAGGACCGAACCGACUACCGUUGAAAAGUUAGCGGAUGACUUGUGGCUAGGGGAGAAAUUCCAAUCGAACCCGGAGAUAGCUGGUUCUCCCCGAAAUAGCUUUAGGGCUAGCGUCGGAAAGAACCUUAGUGAAGGUAGAGCACUGAAUGUGUGAUGGCCCCAUCCCGGGGUACUGAAUACAAUCAAACUGCGAAUGUCAUUAAGGAUGUCCGGCAGUCAGACUGUGAGUGAUAAGGUCCAUGGUCAAGAGGGAAACAGCCCAGACCGCCAGUUAAGGUCCCAAAAUACAGGCUAAGUGGAAAAGGAUGUGGGGAUGCCCAGACAACUAGGAGGUUGGCUCAGAAGCAGCCAUCCUUUAAAGAGUGCGUAACAGCUCACUAGUCGAGUGACCCUGCGCCGAAAAUGUACCGGGGCUAAGCCUGAUACCGAAACUGCGGAUUGUAGGAAACUAUAGUGGUAGGGGAGCGUUGUAUACGAGUAGAAGCCGUACCGUGAGGAGCGGUGGAUUGUAUAGAAGUGAGAAUGCCGGUGUGAGUAGCGAGAUGUAGGUGAGAAUCCUACACACCGAAAGCCCAAGGAUUCCAGGGGAAGGUUCGUCCGCCCUGGGUAAGUCGGGACCUAACGCGAGGCCGAAAGGCGUAGUGGAUGGAAAGCAGGCGAAAGAUUCCUGCACCCGUAUAUGGAGCGAAGGAGUGACGGAGACGGAUAGUGUGACCCUCUUAAUGGAUUGAGGGCGAAGCGAAGCGGCUGGUUACCAGGCAAAUCCGGUAACUGAAAGGCUAGAGCGUGACAGGUAAGCGAAAUCCACGGAAAGUAGCGAAGCACAUGAUGACGGCUUCCAGGAAAAGCUUCUGGCAAUGCAUAUGCGGCCCGUACCAAAACCGACACAGGUGGGCAGGGAGAGAAUCCCGAGGUGAGCGAGAGAACUGUUGCCAAGGAACUCGGCAAAAUGACUCCGUAAGUUAGCGAGAAGGAGUGCUUAAGCAAUUAAGCCGCAGUGAAGAGGCCCAAGCGACUGUUUAACUAAAACACAGCUCUCUGCGAAGUCGCAAGACGAAGUAUAGGGGGUGACACCUGCCCGGUGCUGGAAGGUUAAGAGGAUCUGUUAAGAGCGAUCUGAAGCAGUGAUCCGAAGCCCCAGUGAACGGCGGCCGUAACUAUAACGGUCCUAAGGUAGCGAAAUUCCUUGUCAGGUAAGUUCUGACCCGCACGAAAGGUGUAACGAUUUGGGCGCUGUCUCGGCAGCAGACUCGGUGAAAUCUUAGUACCUGUGAAAAUGCAGGUUACCCGCAACUAGACGGAAAGACCCCAUGGAGCUUUACUGCAGCCUGAUAUUGAAUUCUGGUCAUACAUGUACAGGAUAGGUGGGAGACAAAGAGACGUGCACGCCAGUGUACGAGGAGUCGACGUUGGGAUACCACUCUUGUGUGACCGGGGUUCUAACCUGGUAUCGAGAACAGGUACGGGGAGAGUGUCAGGUGGGCAGUUUGACUGGGGCGGUCGCCUCCCAAAGAGUAACGGAGGCGCCCAAAGGUUCCCUCAGAAUGGUUGGAAAUCAUUCGCAGAGUGUAAAGGUAUAUAGGUAGCUUAACUGCGAGACUUACAAGUCAAGCAGAUACGAAAGUAGGGCUUAGUGAUCAGGCGAUUCAGUAUGGAAUGGUCGUCGCUUAACGGAUAAAAGUUACCCUGGGGAUGUCUUCUUAAGAAUUCUAUGAAGGUUACUAAUUCCUCAUAUACUGUAUAACUCUUAAACAAAUUCAUCAUUACUAACCUAUAUUUUCUGUAUUUUAAUAAUUAUCUACUCUAUAUUAAAUAAUUUCUUUACAAAUAAGUUUUUCUUCAAAUAUUAGAAUCAUUUGCCUUUUCUUGAUAACCAGAUUUCUAAUGAGCGUAUUUAUCUUUUCCACUCUAUAUUUCUUUUAACUAUUUUAGCUGGAACCCCUGCUAAAAUUACAUUUUUCUCACCCAAUGACUUAGUAACACAAGUACCAUAUGCAACGACUGUAUCCUCUAAGAUUUCU
rnacentral:rRNA from 1 species